rnacentral:ncRNA from 1 species
UGUUGGAGCGACGGUUCUGACACGGAAGUGACUGAAGAACCCUGUUGGAAUUAGGCGGGGUAAAGUAUUGAGUCAGGCGUGGUGGCCGCUGCUAGGAAUAGUAGAACCCCGACCAAGGGGACUCAAGUUGUAACGAACCUACUAUCGCACACUAGCGAUUCCCGUUACUUGAGGGUAAAAUGAAUUCCCUUCUUCCACCCU